UACAGAGGCCUCGAGCGUUAGGCGGAAUCACUGGGCUUAAAGCGUGUGUAGGCGGAUCGUUAAGUGCCUUGUGAAAUCCCACGGCUCAACCGUGGAACUGCUUGGCAUACUGGCGGUCUUGAGCAACCUAGGGGCGAGCGGAACAAAUGGUGGAGCGGUGAAAUGCGUAGAUAUCAUUUGGAACGCCAAUGGUGAAAACAGCUCGCUGGGGGUUUGCUGACGCUGAGACACGAAAGCCAGGGGAGCAAACGGG
rnacentral:rRNA from 1 species